rnacentral:lncRNA from 1 species
UACCGUGGUGAUGUGGUGCCCAAAGAUGUGAACGCUGCGGUUGCCACCAUCAAGACCAAGAGGACCAUUCAGUUUGUGGAUUGGUGUCCUACUGGUUUUAAGUGUGGUAUUAACUAUCAGCCACCUACCGUUGUCCCUGGAGGUGACCUUGCUAAGGUGCAGAGAGCAGUAUGCAUGAUUUCCAACUCCACCAGUGUGGCCGAGGUAUUCGGUCGCAUUGACCACAAGUUUGAUCUCAUGUAUGCCAAGCGUGCCUUUGUCCACUGGUACGUGGGUGAGGGUAUGGAAGAAGGUGAGUUUUCAGAAGCUCGUGAGGACCUUGCUGCUCUUGAGAAAGAUUAUGAGGAAGUGGGUGCUGAAUCCGGUGACGGUGUGGAGGAGGAAGAGGACUACUAGAAUCUAUUUCAGAUUCUUGUGCGUGUUUUCUGUUGUGUUUUGUGUUGAGUAUCCAGUGCUAUUAGUGUUU